AACUUUCAACAACGGAUCUCUUGGUUCUGGCAUCGAUGAAGAACGCAGCGAAAUGCGAUACGUAGUGUGAAUUGCAGAAUUCAGUGAAUCAUCGAAUCUUUGAACGCACAUUGCGCCCUUUGCUAUUCCAAAGGGCAUGCCUGUUCGAGCCUCAUU
rnacentral:rRNA from 1 species